rnacentral:rRNA from 1 species
UACAGAGGUCCCAAGCGUUGUUCGGAUUCACUGGGCGUAAAGGGUGCGUAGGCGGUCGGGUAAGUCUGAUGUGAAAAUCUCACAGCUUAACUGUGAAACUGCAUUGGAUACUAUCCGGCUCGAGGAAUGGAGGGGAGACUGGAAUACUUGGUGUAGCAGUGAAAUGCGUAGAUAUCAAGUGGAACACCAGUGGCGAAGGCGAGUCCCUGGACAACUCCUGACACUGAGGCACGAAAGCUAGGGGGAGCAAACAGG